AUCAAAAUGUAGCUUAAUAAAAGCAUUUCGCUUACACCGAAACGUCAUCUGUUAAACCCGGAUCAUUUU
rnacentral:tRNA from 1 species